GAUGAACGCUGGCGGCGUGCCUAAUACAUGCAAGUCGAACGAAACUUCUUUAUCACCGAGUGCUUGCACUCACCGAUAAAGAGUUGAGUGGCGAACGGGUGAGUAACACGUGGGCAACCUGCCCAAAAGAGGGGGAUAACACUUGGAAACAGGUGCUAAUACCGCAUAACCAUAGUUACCGCAUGGUAACUAUGUAAAAGGUGGCUAUACUACCGCUUUUGGAUGGGCCCGCGGCGCAUUAGCUAGUUGGUAGGGUAAAGGCUUACCAAGGCAAUGCUGCGUAGCCGAAUUGAGAGGUUGAUCGGCCACAUUGGGACUGAGACACGGCCCAAACUCCUACGGGAGGCAGCAGUAGGGAAUCUUCCACAAUGGGCGAAAGCCUGAUGGAGCAACGCCGCGUGGGUGAAGAAGGUCUUCGGAUCGUAAAACCCUGUUGUUAGAGAAGAAAGUGCGUGAGAGUAACUGUUCACGUUUCGACGGUAUCUAACCAGAAAGCCACGGCUAACUACGUG
rnacentral:rRNA from 1 species